AACGAACGCUGGCGGCAUGCCUAACACAUGCAAGUCGAACGAGACCUGCGGGACUAGUGGCGCACGGGUGCGUAAGGCGUGGGAACCUGACCUUAGGUUCGGCAUAACUCCCCGAAAGGGGUGCUAAUACCGGCUAAUGUCUUAGGACCAAAGAGUUAUCGCCUUUGGGUGGGCCCGCGUUGGAUUAGCUAGUUGGUAGGGUAAAAGCCUACCAAGGCGACGUUCCAUAGCUGGUCUGAGAGGAUGAUCAGCCACACUGGGACUGAGACACGGCCCAGACUCCUACGGGAGGCAGCAGUGGGGAAUAUUGGACAAUGGGCGAAAGCCUGAUCCAGCAAUGCCGCGUGAGUGAUGAAGGCCUUAGGGUUGUAAAGCUCUUUUACCCGGGAUGAUAAUGACAGUACCGGGAGAAUAAGCUCCGGCUAACUCCGUG
rnacentral:rRNA from 1 species